GUGGAAGGAAAUUUGCAACACAAACAAACAUGGAGGAGUGUUAACGUGACAUAGAGCUCGUACUUAAAAGAGGGGCUACUUCGGUCGCAUGGACGUGGUUUGGGUAUGAAAAGUCAGACACUAACCAGAAAACCGUCCUCUCCCGACAACAGGCUCAAACACCACUAACCUAUUUUACCACCUACGCAAGAAUCAUGUGAAACAGUACGGAGAGUCUACGGAUGAGACCCAAGAAAGUACAGUCGAGUGCUCAAAACAAACCUCUGACUCAGACGUUGCAAGAGGUUUUUGCCCGCGGCACACCAUAUUGCAAAGAAUCACGAAGAUGGAACGAGAUAACAGCUGCCAUUACAACUUACAUCUGCAAAGACGUAGCCCCAAUUUACACGGCCGAGAAACGGGGGUUUCGUGAGUUGGUGCUAGACCCAAGGAUGGAACACCUGCACCCAGUAUCACCUCCUACCUUACCUUGUGCAUUCUCAAUAGCAAACCUGCCUUAAGUUUCUCACCUUAUUUACAUAGGUUGAAGUUAAUGGGUAUCUUCAACCUAUAUUAACAAAAGGGUACAGGCCAUGGUUGCAAGACAACAGAUUGAGCAGGAAAACAGCUAAGAAUAGUGACGUAGUGUCUCAAACGACAGGGCUGCUUCACCACACUUUUCUCACAGCUGAUAACAUACACGUGAAGGGUAGGCAAAUGGAUUCAGCUGCGGGAAAGUAUUUGUCGGAGCAAAUGGCAGUGGGGCCAGAAAAUAAUUAUAAUUUGUACAUUGCAAAAUGUAGGCCUCAUAAUUCAAUCACUCACACACACACACACACACACACACACACACACAGGGGGGGAAAGUAUUUGAUCCCCUGCUGAUUUUGUACGUUUGCCCACUGACAAAGAAAGGAUCAGUCUAUAAUUUUAAUGGUAGGUUUAUUUGAACAGUGAGAGACCGAAUAACAACAAAAAUAUCCAGAAAAACGCAUGUCAAAAAUGUUAUAAAUUGAUUCGCAUUUUAAUGAGGGAAAUAAGUAUUUGACCCCCUCUCAAUCAGAAAGAUUUCUGACUCCCAGGUGUCUUUUAUACAGGUAACGAGCUUAGAUUAGGAGCACACUCUUAAAGGAUAUAUAUAUAGUGCCUUUGUAAAGUAUUCAGACCCCUUGACCUUUUACACUUUGUUACAUUACAGCCUUAUUCCAAAAUAGAUUUAAAAAAAUAGUCCUCAGCAAUCUACACACAAUAGCCAAUAAUGACAAUCCCAAAAAAGAUGAGGACAUUUUUGCAAAUGUAUUAAAAAAAACAACAGACGCUUCAUUUACAUGAGUAUUCAGACCCUUUGCUAUGAGACUCAAAAUUGAGCUCAGAUACAUCCUGUUUCCAUUGAUCAUCCUUGAUGUUUGUACAACUUGGUAGGAGUCCACCUGUGGUAAAUUCAAGUGAUUGGACAUGAUUUGGAAAGGCACACAUGUCUGUGUAUUUAAGGGCCCACAGUUUACAGUGCAUGUCAGAGCAAAAACCAAGCAAUGAGGUUGAAGGAAUUGUCCUUAGACACAAUCCUGUCUCGGAGCUCUAGGCACAGAUCUGGGGAACGGUACCAAAAAAUGUCUGCCGCAUUGAAGGUCCCCAAGAACACAGUGGCCUCCAUCAUUCUUAAAUGGAAGAAGUUUGAAACCACCAAGACUUUUCAUAGAGCUGGCUGCCUGGCCAAACUGAAUAAUCGGGGGGAAGGGCCUUGGUCAGGGACGUGACUAAGAACCUUAUGGUCACUCUGACAGAGCUCUAAAGUUCCUCUGUGGAGGUGGGAGAACCUUCCAGAAGGACAACCAUCUCUGCAGCACUCCAUCAAUCAGGACUUUAUGGUAGAGUGCCAGACGGAAGCCACUCCUCAGUAAAAGGCACAUGACAGCCCGCUUGGAGUUUGCCAAAAUGUGCCUAAAGACUCUCAGACCAUGAGAAACAAGAUUCUCUGGUCUGAUGAAACCAAGAUUGAACUCGAUCUAACGUCUCUGGAAAGACCAGAAAAUAGCUGUGCAGCAACACUCCCCAUCCAACCUGACAGAGCUUGAGAGGAUCUGUAGCAUCAUACCCAAGAAGACUCGUGGCUGUAAUUGCUGCCAAAGCUCCAAGGCAUAGCGAUUGGUCUCUACCAUGUCUCCCACCAGCUCCUCUGUCAGAAACAACUUGAAGCACUGCCUCAGAUGGAAAUGGCAAGGGGCUUUGCACUCCAGACUGGGACUCAUCAACGCAAACAGCAGGGCCAGGAGGGUGCAAUGGCUAGCAGCCUUCCAGCUACCACAGAACUCCUGUACUUCAUCCACUAUCGGUCUGCCUCCAUCACCACCAGCAUCUUCAAAUUGAACUAGGACUUUGUCAGUGGACAAGGGUCCUCAGAUUCAGGGUUCUCAAUGGCUGGGGGGCAGCUCCUCACUGUUAGAAUCUGAUUCCUGACUUUCAGACUCAUUGUCAGAAUUUUUUUAAAUCUCCAGAAUUUCCACAUUUGUGAGUUGUCUCCUUUUGAAAGACAUUGCUAAUGCUACAGCUUAGCUCAUUAGCUAUAUACAUAAACAACAACACUGAAUGGCUCAGAGUGGGAGUGAUAGGUUACAUGAUUGACUGCCUGCACGCGCCAUUUGUAUUAAUAAAUCACAAUCAGAAAAUGUUGUGUGGUAUUAUUGAUAUAUUUACUAUUUUAUUCACGUUUAUCAAUUACCGUAAAUUCCGGACUAUAAGCCGCAACUUUUUUCCCACGCUUUGAACAUCGCGGCUUAAACAAUGACGCGGCUAAUAUAUGGAUUUUUCCCGCUUUCAAUUUUUUUCUGCCAAAAAAACACAUUCUGUGAUGUGCUCAGUUUUUUGGCGGCAUGAAGCUUUCAUUAGACCAAUGAAAUUGCCGAACGGGUUAAGGUCAAACAACUUUUUUGUUUACUGUUUAGAUUAAAUCGAGCGCUCUCAAACUUCCCAUGAUUCUGAUUAUGGUAGUCAUUUUGUCACCCUCAUCAUGGAGAAAUGCAUAUGAUGCAGCUUUCAAGUUGAAGGCGAUUGAUCUGGCUGUUGGAAAAGGAAAUAGAGCUGCUGCACGGGAGCUUGGUCUUAAUGAGUCGAUAAGACGUUGGAAACAGCAGCGUGAGGAAUUGACUCGGUGCAAAAAGACAACUAAAGCUUACUGGUCAUUUUUUAUUUUUUGUUACAAGCCGUGUUUCGUUAAGGCCUAUUUAUUUUUGUUACAAGCCGUGUUUCGUUAAAGCCUGUGUAAAGUUCAUUUUUUUCAAUGUACCGGUAGGCACCUGCGGCUUAUAGACAUGUGCGGCUUAUUUAUGUUCAAAAUAAUACUUUAAAAAAAAUUCAGUGGGUGCGGCUUAUAUUCAGGUGCGCUUAAUAGUCCGGAAAUUACGGUACCGGUGAUAAAUCGCGUAAGAGCCGCGGCUUUUGUGGCGCGAUGGGAAACGAUGCUUCGUGGGUGUCAGUUGUUGAUGUGUGCAGAGGGUCCCUGGUUCGAGCCCAGGUAGGGGUGAGGAGAGGGACGGAAGAAACUGUUACAUUUGCAUAGAUUGUAAUGGGCACAUAGUAUGUGUGUAAAAUAAUUUUUUGAAGGUUGUACUGAUUGAUGAGCUAAGCUAAUUCCAGCUAUGUGUGGAGCCAGGUUUGUUGACAUACAAUGCAUUCUGGGUUUCACGUGAUCGUCUGUCUGACCAAAGAUGCUGUAAGUCGCUCUGGAUAAGAUUGUCUGCUAAAUGACUUAAAUGUAAAUGUAAUAACAAAAUGAGGUGAGUAAGGGUUCACUCAUUUUUUGAGAACUUCAGGAAGUGAAUGGUGGGAUGUGAACGAUGGUAGACGAUGCUGCACGCUGAAACUAAUCUUCGGAUUACUUUCGAUUUCUAGAAAGUGUUUUACUCACCCGUGAUGUGAUUACUUAUACAUAGUAAUUGCUAUUAGCUAAUUCAUAUUGUAGUUUAUGUCAGCCGAGAGUUAGAAAAUAUGACCACUUGUGUUGCAUCAAUCUUUCCUUAGUUAGCGCUAGGACAAAUGUAGACUAAAAAUAAACUGCUCACAUUCUGGACAUAACUUUGUAAGUACUGUGUUUGUGUAAAUUUCUGGAAAAAAGUGUGGCCAGCUCAAAUGCUGAUUGUUGCGUUAUUCGAAACUGGCCGUUCUAAAUGAGCUUUCUAGUCAUCGUACGCUUCAGGGACCACUGUAGAACGAUCACACCCGUGUGAUGGUACGUGUGAACGGGUUAAGGGAUUAAAGAUUUAAUUUAAGUACAACUCUGACUUGUGUGAUACAUUUGUCUCAUUUGAUAGUAAAGAAAUUAACAACCACAGACAGAAUAGGGUUACGAUUCUUCUGAUUCCUGGCCAUUUCUGCAUAGACCGAGUCAGGAAAGACCUGGGGUGUGGAUCAUCCCUGGUUACAGCACCUCUUCACCUGUGAAACAGGAAUGUUGCUUCAUUCAUAUCUUAUGUGUUACAAGCAAUCAUUUUUACUAAUUCAACCACUUAAUUAUUCUUGGACAUUGAUAAAAAAAUAUGCAUCCUAAUUGCCCUUUGCCCAUUUCAGUCACUACAAUGACUGGCAUUGAAAGAACAUUGUGUUUUGACAAAGUUUACUGGUAAUAUAUAGCAUACUGGUAAUAUGCUCCCAAUGUGUUUAGUAGGAC
rnacentral:lncRNA from 1 species